rnacentral:pre_miRNA from 1 species
UUUGUACUCCCUCCGUCCCAAAAUUCUUGUCUUAAAUUUGUCUAAAUACGGAUGUAUCUAGUUACAUUUUAGUGUUAGAUACAUCCGUAUCUAAACAAAUGAAAGACAAGAAUUUUGGGACGGAGGGAAUACUAC